UUUUUUUUCCCCCUCCAAAUCUUUUGAUGCUACAGCUAACUAAGGAAUUUAAGGGAUUUAAUUACCUAGUAGUAUAACUUUUUAAAAAUUAAAUGUUGCUUACUAUUGUAAUGAUUCCUUUUAGCUCAGUGGAUCAUAAAUUUUAUCUAUUCUUUAUAUAUUAAUCUUGUACUGCAAGUAGGUUAUGUUAAUUGAGUCCUUGAUGCUCUUCG